GGGAAAACCCACUAAAAGAGUAAACUCCACCGCGUAGGAGAGAGAGACACAGGAGAAAGUGGAACCAAGUCAGAUGCUGCUGAUGACGACGAUAGUGGAAGUAUACAACUGAGACAAACACACGAGAGUCAGUUCUGGGAAGCCGGAAACGAGGGAGAUGACCGGCAGUCUAAAGUUUUGCCGCCGGUUGCCGCAUGUGAGAUAGCCACGCAAUUUCAGGUUACCACAACCCAACAUUUGCUACUUCAAUCGCAGGCCUGAUUGGGGCUCCAAUCGAAGGUAGGCAUCUGAUUAGGGCUCCAAUUUCAGUUCAGAAUGACAAGAUUAUGCAGAGGCUAAGGAUGGUGGCAAUUAAAGACGAAAGAAGAGAGAGGAGAACGAGAAGAAAGAGGAAAAAUUGAGAGAGGAGAGACAAAGGGUGGUCAGCAUCGUCACACCACCACCACUACGAUUAUAAUCUGGUGUCUCACUUGCGAUGGAAUGGCGGAAGUGGUCCAUCUAGGAGUGAUGGUUUUGACAAGUCCUGAUCCGGAGAUGGCUGUUCAGUGUUUUGUGUGUCGGCGGGUGAUAGAUGCUUCUCCGUAGACAGAUUCGGUGCAUUUGCAAAGUCACAGUUUAUCACCUAGGGUUUUGAAAUACAAAUUUCAGGUCGUCGUACUCUUUAUAUGAAUAUUUUGCAUAAACUGUGUGACUUUGCUCUGGCUUGAAUUUGACAUAAAAAAUGCAAUAGGUAUUGACACGUUCAAAAGAUAUGAUAAUUAUCCAAAUGCAUGCUCUAAAUGUUUACAAGUAACCAUAUAUC
rnacentral:lncRNA from 1 species